CGGCGGACGGGUGAGUAACGCGUGGGUAACCGUGCCUCAUACAGGGGAGUAACAGUUGGAAACGGACUGCUAAUACCGCAUAAGCGCACAGUACCGCAUGGUACGGUGUGAAAAACUACCGGUGGUAUGAGAUGGACCCGCGUCUGAUUAGGUAGUUGGUGGGGUAACGGCCUACCAAGCCGACGAUCAGUAGCCGACCUGAGAGGGUGACCGGCCACAUUGGGACUGAGACACGGCCCAA
rnacentral:rRNA from 1 species